CUUAGUUACACUCGGAAAUUAGCUUGCAAACUGUAACAGUAAAUAUCAUGGAUCUUUUUAUUGACUUCAAACUGUAACUCAUUAAAUUAGCUAUGGUGGUUUUGCAGCCAUUACAUAAAUCCUGCUGUAAUUAUCCCACGCUGCAAAUAAAAGCUACAUUUACUUUUUUCUUUUUUAAACAGAGGUAGUGGAAUCUCCUGCUUGCAAAUGAAUACUAUUUCACUUCCUUCUAAUUUGCUCUAAUUACAAAAGAAGAAUACCCUUUGAUGUUGGUGUUAAUAUUUUUACCUCCAGAUAUACAUGGCAGAUGGUAAUUUAAAUUGUGUUACAUUGAAAGUUAGUUGUUGUAUAUGUAUAUAAUUACUGCAGAAUAAUUAUCCUCUUAAAACGGUUUAUGUAACUUUCUUCUGUAACAAUAAGGACUACUGUAGCACAGAUGUGAUUGAUUUGACCUGAUAACCUAUAAACGAAUGAUUAUUCUCAUGAAAUAGAGCUUGCGGUGUUGUCACAACUAAGGUGUUUCCAGAGGCAUUAGUCACUGUCCUUGUGAAUUCAUACAACCACACCUCAAACCAUUCUAAAGUUAUUGCCUACAUGUCUUACGUGUAAUUAUGUGUGCCUGAGUUCUGAGAAAGAGUUAUGCACCCAUUACAUAUAUACCGUAUUUUUCCCAUGUAUAAGACUAUGUUUUUUUCAAAACAUUUUUAGUCUAAAAUUGGGAGUCAUCUCAAACAUGAAAUGUCACUGCAGCGGUUAAAACACAAGACACUUUUGUGUGGGGCCUAAGUUAAGAUGGCGCCUGCUGCAUGCCACGGCCAACACACAUACCUGGCCUCCCUUCCGCUGAUCCACUUCUGAAUGCUGUGGCAAGACGGAAGAGGUCCCUAUAUGCGUGGGAGAUGCAGCAGACAUGAUCACUUACCACCAACGGAGCUCCAGAGACAUGCUACAUUAUAAAAGGAGCAGCCAUAGUAAGGUUUGCUCCACCUCAGGUGGGCCUUGCUUUCUGAUUUGUAUUUAUGGGGGAGGAAAUGGGGAUCAGGGAGCAGAGGGAAUACUACUGUGAUGCCCCAGCAUGCCCUCACACCACCUGCUCUAUUGUGGGAGCUAUAGUCUCCCAGCAUGAACUAUAGAGCCAUUAACUUCACAGAGUACCGUAGCACAGGGGAGGCAUUAGAAUCAGAAGAGUGCUGUUCUCCUCAGAAGUCACCUCUAAAAUAUCAAAUUUGUUCUAUUUGAUGUUUAAAAUAUUGAUUUCUUGGAGGUCGCAUGUCUUUGGAGCUCUGUCAACAAGGCCGAAAUAACCUGCAAAGAAGGAGCCUUUCUGAAACACAAACUGCACUGGCAAUAGCCAAAAGUGUUCACAAGUAUAUGGGGCGGAAGAACAAGAAACUGAGGUUGGAUCGGUCCGGGUUCUCAGCUGACAUUAGCGAGCUCUUUCGAAGGCCGCAUGGUGCGCGCGGGCUUGACAUGGUGGACGCACUGGGUGAUUUCUC